rnacentral:rRNA from 1 species
AGUGAACGCUGGCGGUAGGCCUAACACAUGCAAGUCGAACGGCAGCACAGUAAGAGCUUGCUCUUACGGGUGGCGAGUGGCGGACGGGUGAGGAAUACAUCGGAAUCUACUUUUUCGUGGGGGAUAACGUAGGGAAACUUACGCUAAUACCGCAUACGACCUACGGGUGAAAGCAGGGGAUCUUCGGACCUUGCGCGAUUGAAUGAGCCGAUGUCGGAUUAGCUAGUUGGCGGGGUAAAGGCCCACCAAGGCGACGAUCCGUAGCUGGUCUGAGAGGAUGAUGAGCCACACUGAAACUGAGAGACGGUCCAGACUCCGACGGGGGGCAGCAGUGGGGAAUAUUGGACAAUGGGCGCAAGCCUGAUCCAGCCAUACCGCGUGGGUGAAGAAGGCCUUCGGGUUGUAAAGCCCUUUUGUUGGGAAAGAAAAGCAGCAGGUUAAUACCCCGCUGUUCUGACGGUACCCAAAGAAUAAGCACCGGCUAACUGCGU